rnacentral:misc_RNA from 1 species
AAUAACACAUAAAUAUAGCAACAUAAUAUGUAGAUAUCUCCUCAGCGUUCUCCGAACAGUCACUAAGUGUACGCGUAAACUGUGAGAGCAGAAUUUUGUUCAAGCCGCUAACAGAAGAAUCUCGUCGUCUCAUCAACAAGGGGCCCAUAACAUCGGCAUGUCUGAUAUACCACCGCUUUUUUCACUACAAUCGGAUCUUUCGUCAUCUAUAAUUUCUCCAAAAAUUAACCCUUAUCGUAACUUCUUCAAUCCAAAUAUUUGUCAUUGGUGCAAAGAAUAUCCAGGAAAACUUCGGAAAGAAAACAAUAUAUGUCUCUCGUGCAACAUGAUUCUUUACUGUAG